CCUACGGGUGGCAGCAGUGAGGAAUAUUGGUCAAUGGACGCAAGUCUGAACCAGCCAUGCCGCGUGCAGGAAGACGGCUCUAUGAGUUGUAAACUGCUUUUGUACGAGGGUAAACGCAGAUACGCGUAUCUGUUUGAAAGUAUCGUACGAAUAAGGAUCGGCUAACUCCGUGCCAGCAGCCGCGGUAAUACGGAGGAUUCAAGCGUUAUCCAGAUUUAUUGGGUUUAAAGGGUGCGUAGGCGGUUGGAUAAGUUAGUGGUGAAAUCCUGAGGCUCAACCUCGGAAUUGCCUCUGAUACUGUUCGGCUAGAGAGUAGUAGCGGUAGGCGGAAUGUAUGGUGUAGCGGUGAAAUGCUUAGAGAUCAUAAAGAACACCGAUUGCGAAGGCAGCUUACCAAGCUACUUCUGACGUUGAGGCACGAAAGCGUGGGGAGCAAACAGGAUUAGAUACCCGAGUAGUC
rnacentral:rRNA from 1 species